rnacentral:rRNA from 1 species
GAUGAACGCUGGCGGCGUGCUUAACACAUGCAAGUCGAACGGAGCUUAGAAGGAAGCUUGCUUUCAUUUAAGCUUAGUGGCGGACGGGUGAGUAACGCGUGAGCAACCUGCCCUCGAGUGGGGAAUAACAUCGAGAAAUCGGUGCUAAUACCGCAUAAAGUCGAGAGACCGCAUGAUCUUUCGACCAAAGGAUUUAUUCGCUUGAGGAUGGGCUCGCGUCCGAUUAGCUAGUUGGUGAGGUAACGGCCCACCAAGGCAUCGAUCGGUAGCCGAACUGAGAGGUUGAUCGGCCACAUUGGGACUGAGACACGGCCCAGACUCCUACGGGAGGCAGCAGUGGGGAAUAUUGGGCAAUGGGCGAAAGCCUGACCCAGCAACGCCGCGUGAAGGAUGAAGGUCUUCGGAUUGUAAACUUCUUUGAUUGGGGAAGAAUAAAUGACCU